rnacentral:rRNA from 1 species
UGCCAGCAGCCGCGGUAACACGGGGGGGGCAAGCGUUGUCCGGAAUUAUUGGGCGUAAAGGGCGAGUAGGUGGGAAAGUAAGUUAGAGGUGAAAGUUCGGAGCUUAACUCCGAAUCUGCCUCUAAAACUGCUUUUCUUGAGUGUGAGAGGGGAAAGUGGAAUUCCCGGUGUAGCGGUGAAAUGCGUAGAUAUCGGGAAGAACACCGGUGGCGAAGGCGACUUUCUGGCUCACAACUGACACUGAAUCGCGAAAGCGUGGGGAGCAAACAGGAUUAGAUA